rnacentral:rRNA from 1 species
AAAGCGUGCGCAGGCGGUUUUGUAAGACUGUCGUGAAAUCCCCGGGCUCAACCUGGGAAUGGCGAUGGUGACUGCAAGGCUAGAGUUUGGCAGAGGGGGGUAGAAUUCCACGUGUAGCAGUGAAAUGCGUAGAUAUGUGGAGGAACACCGAUGGCGAAGGCAGCCCCCUGGGUCAAAACUGACGCUCAUGCACGAAAGCGUGGGGAGCAAACAGGAUUAGAUACUCGUGU